GUGCUUGCCUCGGUAGCACAUAUUCUGGAAUUGAAAUGACUGAGAGAAGAUUAGCAUGAGCCGUGCGCAGGGAGGAGACAUACAUUCAUGGACUAGACAAUCUUUGU
rnacentral:snRNA from 1 species